UAUAUUUUUGGCUACCACUUCAAAUGCCUCCACCAAGUGUUACAAUGCUGCACGCAGCCAUACUAAGGAUCUCGCAGCAACACCUGCCGGUAAAAAGCAGAAGCAGUCAAAGUGAUGGUGUGUACUGGACACUAUGCUUGAAAACAUUUAGGCAAGAAGAGUGCAAGAAGCAGACAUAACUGCAUUUAUUUCCAUAAUUCCCCAUUUUAAUGGCCUUUUCUUUUUGCUUAGACAAUGCCUACGUCUAGCCACAGCAGCUCCCUCAUACAGACUCUGCAAGCCAAGAGACCGUGGAGGCAAAUGCAGGCAGCCAGCACACCUCGAACAGCCACCUUGACUGCGGGUGUGUCAUCCUAGUCGCCAAGGAAACAUUUGAGGGAAAGCGACAGGCAAUGUGAACAGCCACUUCUCCAUGUAAACGAUACUCUUACUCUCGGAUGACUCCUACGCCUCGCCAUGCCAGCACGCAUGUGCACAAAGAUGCCGCGGAGGCACGUGCAGGUCAGAGGCAAGCAGCAGUGGCACUGGUGUCGACAUUCACCCAAUUUCUUUUUCUUACACUGAGGCAGCCAGCACACCUCGAACAGCCACCUUGACUGCGGGUGUGUCAGUAGAUUCCUGUUGUACAUAUGCUCAUAAUAAACGUCAGUAAACUUGA
rnacentral:lncRNA from 1 species